rnacentral:misc_RNA from 1 species
AAGUCGUAACAAGGUUUCCGUAGGUGAACCUGCGGAAGGAUCAUUAACACGUGAUUACCCACGUAUUACGCAAACGUGAAUUUGUUGUAUGCCUGAUAGAGGAUCUGAGCUGACUGUUAGGGAAUGGUGUGUGACGAUGAUUCGCUCUCGUUGCUAACUAGCAGUCUUAGCGUCCUUGAGACGCGGUUCGGUCUUCUAGCAGUAGAUAAGCAUCGGCUGUACUAAGCCUGCACCUUGGCUUGCUGUCCGAGCGAUAUGUAUUUACCACAAUGUUAUACUCAUUCUGAUUUGUACGUUUUUACGAAUUCCUAAUGACUUCGGUUAUUGGUUGAGUUUGUCUAAAUGUCGUAUAUUACUAAUACGAAACAACUCUUAGCAACGGAUAUCUUGGUUCUC